rnacentral:rRNA from 1 species
GACGAACGCUGGCGGCGUGCUUAACACAUGCAAGUCGAACGGAGUUCCUACGAAUUGAAGCUUCGGCAGAUUUUUGUUUGAACUUAGUGGCGGACGGGUGAGUAACGCGUGAGGAACCUGCCUCUCAGAGGGGGACAACAGUUGGAAACGACUGCUAAUACCGCAUAAUGCAUUUUGAUCGCAUGAUCGGGAUGCCAAAGAUUUAUCGCUGAGAGAUGGCCUCGCGUCUGAUUAGAUAGUUGGUGGGGUAACGGCCUACCAAGUCGACGAUCAGUAGCCGGACUGAGAGGUUGACCGGCCACAUUGGGACUGAGACACGGCCCAGACUCCUACGGGAGGCAGCAGUGGGGAAUAUUGCGCAAUGGGGGGCAACCCUGACGCAGCAACGCCGCGUGAAGGAAGAAGGUCUUCGGAUUGUAAACUUUUGUCUUUAGGGAAGAAUAAUGACGGUACCUAAGAAGGAAGCUCCGGCUAACUACGUG